CCUACGGGUGGCAGCAGUGGGGAAUAUUGGGCAAUGGGCGCAAGCCUGACCCAGCAACGCCGCGUGAAGGAAGAAGGCUUUCGGGUUGUAAACUUCUUUUCUCAGGGACGAAGAAAGUGACGGUACCUGAGGAAUAAGCCACGGCUAACUACGUGCCAGCAGCCGCGGGAAUACGUAGGAGGCAAGCGUUAUCCGGAUUUACUGGGUGUAAAGGGCGUGUAGGCGGGAAAGCAAGUCAGAUGUGAAAACCAUGGGCUCAACCUGUGGCCUGCAGUUGAAACUGUUUUUCUUGAGUACUGGAGAGGCAGACGGAAUUCCUAGUGUAGCGGUGAAAUGCGUAGAUAUUAGGAGGAACACCAGUGGCGAAGGCGGUCUGCUGGACAGCAACUGACGCUGAGGCGCGAAAGCGUGGGGAGCAAACAGGAUUAGAUACCCGAGUAGUC
rnacentral:rRNA from 1 species